CAUGACUGGCUGAUCCAAUACUAAGUACUAGUGCCGCAGGAGUCGUAUAUUUGAGUAACCCUGUCGUACUUGUGCUUAACAUAGGAUGUGCCAAUAUUCAU